CACCUACUCCCUCCGUUCCAAAUUACUCGUCGCUGAAAUGGAUGUAUCUAGAACUAAAAUACUUCUAGAUACAUUCAUACCUGCGACAAGUAAUUCGGAACGGAGGGAGUACAUC
rnacentral:pre_miRNA from 1 species